CAUCGGAAGUAAGAAGAAUCACACACCUCCCGUUUAGCGCGAUGAAGACUGCCCGCGCCUGAGCCUCCUUUCAUCGGAAGCAAGAAGAAUCACAGACCUCCGGUUUACCGCGAUGAAGACUGCCCGCGCCUGAGCCUCCUUUCACCUAGGUCUUCAUCGCAUUUUCACUAGAAAUCCCAAUUUCGAAAACCCUUGCCCGAGCCACAGCUCAUGAUUCUAGAGCUACUAUACCAGGAAACAAGUAGAGGUACUCCGGCAUAUAAUUGCUGUCUGUUGGUUUUCUUGCUUUUUCAUUGUGUUUUUCAAUCUUUCAAUGUUUCAGGUGGGGUUUAAAGUCAUUUUUGUUGUUCUUGGUGGUUCUAUUAGAUAGCAUAUGAUCUAGAAGAAAAGAUUGUACAAUAAAUUAGCCGAUGAGGACAAUGAGUUUAGGGAAAUAGCCUAUUGUUCAUGAGAAUUACAGGCAGAAGAGAAGCUGGGUUUCAUGAUUUGGCAUCUCUGUUUCAUGUAAGCAUCUCUUACUCUCUUUCAGAAAAUAAUGAGAUUAGGGAAAUAGCCUAUUGUUGUAGCUAUUCAUAUGAAUAUAAGAUAUUCUGUCCCAUAAAUUAUUAUAGUAUACUGUUUCAAUAUUUGGUGUCACUGUGUACGACCAUAAGAAGCAGGUACCAUUUCUUUCUUCUCAUUUUGCUCUUUUUUUCCCCUCUCAGAAUACUAUUUCUUGAUUCUCCUCUCUUGAUAAAGUUACAAUCUUUAGGCUACUUCUUUGCUCCUCCCCGUUUGAGAUGUUUUGGUUGCUUUAAUGAGCUCAUAUUAUUUGUGUUUCUAAUUAAGAACUACUAGGCUAGGUGAUGACAGUAUUGGGUUUUGCUUCUCACCUCCAAUUAAAAAUGAAACUAAUUUAUAGCUCCAUUCCCAUUGAUGCUGCAUGUGCAUUUCGUAUGGAGAACAUGUUGUUGAAGAUAGUGAUGUGAUCAUAUUCUCUGUGAAGCCUCAAAUAGGGAUUUACUUGAAACAAUCGGUGUUUUCACAUGGACAGUUAUAUGUUGCAUUAUCAAGAGCAAAGAAAGAAGAUUGUGUAAAGAUGUUACUUUGCAAUACUCAUCGCGAUACAACUACUACAGACCUAACUGAUAACAUUGUCUAUCAAGAAAUUCUAAAUGAAGCUUGUGGAUAACUUCUUUGAUCUAACUAGAUUACUACUCUACGCAUUCAAAUGCUCGAUUUGUCCAACUUAUAUUGACCUUGAUCCGGUAUCAAUAUAAAGAAUUUAUGAUUAGGGUUGUUCUCUCCCAGAGAUACAACAACACAACUCUCAGCAGCUAUGAUUCUCAAGUGGCCAACAUUAUAUUUUUGGACCAACCAGUUGGAACAGGAUUUGGGUUGCACAGUGAAUUUGACGGUCUUGAUGUAGGCCUCUAAUUUUACUUUGUUAUUGGGUUGAGGAAGUAAAAAUGUGACGAAACGAUUACUCUUUUGAGCUUUGUGCCUUUUCUAGGACAUGCUUAAGUUCCUGUAUUUUGGCUUCCCUAGAGCAAGAAUGAAAGACUUCUUGAGUGCCAUAUGCCCAUACAUGUACUAAAUGUAUCAAUGUGCUUCUCUAGAAGUGUACCAAAACUGGGAGUUGAGGGAAUUGAAGCUUAUGGUCUAGACAAGUUGAUCCAAUUUGCUGCAUCUCAGCUUAGUGACCAACUUCCUGAGUCUAGGGAAGCUGCCCGUGCUCUUUUAUUGGAGCUGCAAAGUGUCUAUGAGAAGAUAACAACAACAGUGACUGAAGAUCAAGAAGCAAUUUCUUGGGAGCAAUUUUGCCAAUCAAAGCUCUCACCCUUGAACGCUCAAGCUGUCCUUCGAGUGACCAAUGUUCCUAGGGAGGGUCUUGUGCAGGGAUCCUAACAAAUUACAAGCCGUAGCAAGUUUCUUUGGCUUUCACUGUGUUUUGGGUUCAUUUUCUUAUACCUGUACAUACGAUGGAAGUUUGAGAUGAUGAGAGGCGGUUGCAGCAGCAUUUAUUAUUAAUCUUGAGAAGUUGGCUUGAUAGAAAGCAAAAGACAAAGCCAUUUUUUAAGAUUAUAAUCAAUUUCUGUUUCAUUA